CGAAGAAAUAAAGGGCGAACGGCGGAUGCCUUGGCUUCUAUAGGCGAUGAAAGACGCGGUAAGCUGCGAAAAUGGCCGGGGAUCGGCAAACACGAGAUGAUCCGGCCGUUUCUGAAUGGGGCAACCCGGCAGGUUGAAGACCUGUCACGUAUAUUAUACGGGCAAACUCAGGGAACUGAAACAUCUUAGUACCUGAAGGAAAAGAAAGAAACAUCGAUUUCCCUAGUAGUGGCGAGCGAACAGGAAACAGCCCAAACCGUCAUCUGUUACGGCAAUGACGGGGUCAUAGGACCUCACGACUCGUUUGUCAAACGAACCGGAAGUAUCUGGAAAGUUACAUCGCAGAGGGUGAUAAUCCCGUACGGGCAAGUUUGACAAACGACAGAGUACUCCUGAGUAGGGCGGGACACGAAGAAUCCUGUCUGAAUUCGCGGGGCCCAUCCCGCAAGGCUAAAUACUCAUAGAAGACCGAUAGAGAACCAGUACUGUGAAGGAAAGGUGAAAAGAACCCCUGACAGGGGAGUGCAACAGACCCUGAAACCGUUCGUCUACAAGCUGUCGGAGCCCCUUUAUUGGGGUGACGGCGUGCCUUUUGGAUAAUGAGCCUACGAGUUGUAUCACAUUAGCGAGGUUAAGUGCUUCAGGCACGUAAGCCGGAGCGAGAGCGAGUCUUAAUAGGGCGCAUAGUUGGUGUGAACAGACGCGAAACCUAGUGAUCUACCCUUGGCCAGGUUGAAGUUACCGUAACAGGUGAUGGAGGACCGAACCGGUAAAAGUUGAAAAUUUUUCGGAUGAGCUGAGGGUAGGGGUGAAAGGCUAAUCAAACUGGGAGAUAGCUCGUACUCCCCGAAAUGUCUUUAGGGACAGCCUCAUGAUAGUUUACCGGAGGUAGAGCUACUGAUAGGAUGCGAGGGUUUCACCGCCUAUCAAUUCCUGACAAACUCCGAAUGCCGGUAAAUGUUUCAUGGGAGUGAGUCGCCGGGUGCUAAUGUCCGGUGGCAAAAGGGAAACAGCCCAGACCAACAGUUAAGGCCCCCAAUAGUGGUUUAAGUUGAUCAAACGCGGUGACAUUGCAGAGACAGCUAGGAUGUUAGCUUGGAAGCAGCUAUUCAUUUAAAGAGUGCGUAACAGCUCACUAGUCGAGCGAUGUUGCAUGGAUAAUAAUCGGGCAUCAAGACCACAGCCGAAACUAUGGACUCCGAAAGGAGUGGUAGGGGAGCAUUCCAAUCGGCGCAGAAGGCAUACCGUGAGGUAUUCUGGAGCGAUUGGAAGAGAAGAUGUAGGCAUAAGUAACGAUAAUGCGGGUGAGAACCCCGCACACCGAAAACCCAAGGUUUCCUGGACAACGCUAAUCGGUCCAGGGUUAGUCGGGCCCUAAGUCGUAACCGAAGGGUGAAGACGAUGGCCAAAUGUUUAAUAUUCCAUUACCUGUUAUAUGAGAGAAGGAGUGACGGAGCAGUGACACGCGCGCCAACUGACGGAAUAGUUGGUUGAAGGACGUAGAUAUACUUUCCUGUUAAUAGCUGGUGAGUGUUGAAAUCCGACAGUACGCCGAGUCUUCGGACGAGGUGAUAGUCGCGGUAAUCAGACUUCCAAGAAAACCUCCGUAUCGUUAAUCAUAUGACAGCCCGUACCGUAAACCGACACAGGUGGGUGAGGAGAGAAUCCUCAGGUGCUCGAGUGAAUCAUGGCUAAGGAACUAGGCAACUUGACCCCGUAACUUCGGGAUAAGGGGCCCCUCCGUGAUGGAGGGCGCAGAGAAAUGGCUCAGGCGACUGUUUAGCAAAAACACAUGGCUUUGCAAAUUCGCAAGAAUAUGUAUAAGGCCUGACACCUGCCCGGUGCUGGAAGGUUAAGAGGGGGUGUUAGCUGACGCAAGGAAGCGAAGCACUGAAUCGAAGCCCCAGUAAACGGCGGCCGUAACUAUAACGGUCCUAAGGUAGCGAAAUUCCUUGUCGGGUAAGUUCCGACCUGCACGAAUGGUGUAACGAUCUGAGCGCUGUCUCGGCCAUGAGCUCGGUGAAAUUGUAGUAACGGUGAAGAUGCCGUUU
rnacentral:rRNA from 1 species